CACCGCGGUUAUACGAGAGACCCAAGUAGACAGAACCCGGCGUAAAGCGUGAUUAAUACACUGUAAUAACUAAAGUCGAACUUCUUCAAAACUGUUAUACGUUUAUGAAGGUAAGAAGCCCACUAACGAAAGUAACUUUAAAUUAUAUGAAUUCACGAAAGCUCUGGAA
rnacentral:rRNA from 1 species